rnacentral:hammerhead_ribozyme from 1 species
GCACUUCUGAGGAGUCCCACAACAGAACGAAAUGCUUAUCCAGUGC